UACGUAGGGUGCGAGCGUUAAUCGGAAUUACUGGGCGUAAAGCGUGCGCAGGCGGUUUUGUAAGACAGACGUGAGAUCCCCGGGCUUAACCUGGGAACUGCGUUUGUGACUGCAAGGCUAGAGUAUGGCAGAGGGGGGUAGAAUUCCACGUGUAGCAGUGAAAUGCGUAGAUAUGUGGAGGAAUACCGAUGGCGAAGGCAGCCCCCUGGGUCAAUACUGACGCUCAUGCACGAAAGCGUGGGGAGCAAACAGGAUUAGAUACCCUGGUAGUCCACGCCCUAAACGAUGUCAACUAGGUGUUGGGGGAGGAGACUUCCUUAGUACUGCAGCUAACGCGUGAAGUUGACCGCCUGGGGAGUACGGCCGCAAGGUUGAAACUCA
rnacentral:rRNA from 1 species